CAGUUGCAGAGAGGUCACAUGGUGUAAAUAUAAGGAGAAUCCAACAAAUUUUAAGUAUAGGAGCCUUCCAGGUGGUAAUCCACUAACAAAUGAAUCCCUGAAAGAAGAACUAUUGGUAUUGGUAUCAAAAUAUACAUCUCGGUCUAAUGCUAUAGCAGAAUUAGGAUCAACACAGGCAAAUGAAAGCUUCAAUCAGAUGGCAUCUUCAAAAGCACCAAAGUCAAGACAUUAUGGAGGAUCAUGUUCCCUUAAAAACAGA